GGGUGCCGUUUGUCCCAUGUACAUUAUGUUGACAAAAAGUACAUUCUGUCUGCAAAAAUAACUUCAAUAUAGUUGAGGCACAAAAUACAUUUUACCAGGAUACAUAUAUAACUGUGGUCAGAUAUUUUGGUAGAAAAUAUACAAAAGCAGUAUGUUUAGUCAAAAAUGAGAACAAAAUCUGAUUUCUGUACAAAUAGGAUAUCAAAGUAUUGUAAACAAGCAUUUUGUCUUUCACACUGUAUUUUGUUUCUCAAAUGUAUAAAAUCCAUGUAACAAAACUAGUGAUGUGUAAAGGUAACUACAAGAUGAAUUAUGUAAAAAAAACUAGAACAAAAUAUAUAAUGUUGUAAGCGGCUAUCAUAUGUGAAUCCACACAAUUGAUAUCUCACUAUAAUUUACCAGUUUGAAGUGACAAAAUAGAUGCUUAUUACAGAAAGGAAUAUAACCUAUCACAGAAUCCAUAAUAUCAACAAAUUAACACAAGUUCAACAAAACCAAUAUCAACACAAUAGUUAAGUUAGACAAAACAGAUAAAACAGACAAAACAGAUAUUUUCAGAUUAUCUAUUCUGUGAAACAUUUCUGUCAGUCAAAUUAGUGAACCAAUGAGAUGCAAGCAUACUUCUUAACCAAUAACAAGCACUCUUUAACUGAAGUCCAUUUAUCUAUUAAUUCACCUUUCAAAUAGCAACAGUUAUUUGGCCAAUAAUAUUAGGUUUCACUUUUUUUUCUGAUCCUGCAGCUUCUUGCCAUGUUUCCACUCCCCUGAGGUUGCCAUUUUCUAGCACAUGCUCUCCAGAAUGGAUCCUAGGGGUAUUAAUGUGAAGCUAUUAGCUGACAGCAUUUUGAACCUUUCAAAAAUAGUUGAGAAUUGGUCCUCUACAAGCUCCAACACUGGGCCUCUAGGGUCACAUCAUUUAACAAAACAAGACA